UACGUAGGGUGCAAGCGUUGUCCGGAAUUAUUGGGCGUAAAGAGCUCGUAGGCGGUUUGUCGCGUCUGCUGUGAAACCCCGAGGCUCAACCUCGGGCCUGCAGUGGGUACGGGCAGACUAGAGUGCGGUAGGGGAGAUUGGAAUUCCUGGUGUAGCGGUGGAAUGCGCAGAUAUCAGGAGGAACACCGAUGGCGAAGGCAGAUCUCUGGGCCGUAACUGACGCUGAGGAGCGAAAGCAUGGGGAGCGAACAGG
rnacentral:rRNA from 1 species